CCUACGGUCGGCUGCAGUGAGGAAUAUUGGUCAAUGGGCGGGAGCCCGAACCAGCCAAGCCGCGUGAGGGAAGAAGGUACAGCGUAUCGUAAACCUCUUUUGUCAGGGAACAAAGGCGGGGACUAGUCCCCGGAUGAGGGUACCUGAAGACACAGCAUCGGCUAACUCCGUUCCAGCAGCCGCGGUAAUACGGAGGCUGCUAGCGUUAUCCGGAUUUCUUGGGUUUACGGGGUGCGCAGGCGGCCUGUUAAGUCAGCGGUAAAAGCCCGGGGCUCAACCCCGGCCAGUCGUUGAAACUGGCGGGCGGGAGAUGGAAAGAAGUACGCGGAAUGCGCGGUGUAGCGGUGAAAUGCUUAGAUAGCGCGCAGAACCCCGAUUGCGAAGGCAGCGGACCGGCUCCACACUGACGCGGAGGCACGAAAGCGUGGGUAUCGAACAGGAUUAGAUACCCCGGUAGUC
rnacentral:rRNA from 1 species